ACCUCGGAUCAGGUAGGAAUACCCGCUG
rnacentral:rRNA from 1 species